GCUCAAAUUUGAAAUCUUAAAGGGUUUCCCUUUACGAAUUGUAGUUUAAAGAAGUGUUUUCUGUUGAGGUUUUGGUAAAAGUUCUUUGGAAUAGGACAUCAUAGAGGGUGAGAAUCCCGUAUUUGACCUUUACUCUCAACUUUGUGAUACACUUUCAAAGAGUCGGAUUGUUUGGGAAUGCAGUCCAAAAUGGGUGGUAAAUUUCAUCUAAAGCUAAAUAUUGGCGAGAGACCGAUAGCGAACAAGUACCGUGAGGGAAAGAUGAAAAGAACUUUGAAAAGGGAGUUAAACAGUACGUGAAAUUGUCAAAAGGGAAGCGUUUGACACCAGUGUUGUUUUUCUGAAAAUCAAUUAAAGGACUGUUUAUGCUAAGUUGUUUAGACUUUAUCAGCUAACUGUUUAGUUUUGAGCUUUUCUUUAAUGCACUUUUCAUUUAACAAG
rnacentral:rRNA from 1 species